rnacentral:ncRNA from 1 species
UUGAGCCGGAUGCGGGGCGACUUGCACGUCCGGUUCUUGGGGGAGCGCGUGCUGGCAACAGCACGCGCUUACCCGAC